rnacentral:rRNA from 1 species
AGAGUUUGAUCCUGGCUCAGAACGAACGCUGGCGGCGUGCUUAACACAUGCAAGUCGAGUGCGCGCCUGUAGCAAUACAGGUGGCGCACGGCGCACGGGUGCGUAACACGUGGGUAAUCUGCCCUCUGAUGGGGAAUAACUCGCCGAAAGGCGAGCUAAUUCCGCAUAAUAUUCCGAGAACCUCGGUUUUUGGACUGAAAGGCGUAAGUCGUCGGAGGAGGAGCCCGCGCACGAUUAGCUAGUUGGUAGGGUAAUGGCCUACCAAGGCUUUGAUCGUUAGCUGGUCUGAGAGGAUGGCCAGCCACACUGGAACUGAGACACGGUCCAGACUCCUACGGGAGGCAGCAGUGGGGAAUCUUGCACAAUGGGCGAAAGCCUGAUGCAGCGACGCCGCGUGGGGGAUGAAGCUUCUCGGAGUGUAAACCCCUUUCGAUCCGGACGAAUGCCCGCAAGGGAUUGACGGUACGGAUAUAAGAAGCCCCGGCUAACUACGUGCCAGCAGCCGCGGUAAUACGUAGGGGGCCAGCGUUGUUCGGAAUUACUGGGUGUAAAGGGUUCGUAGGCGGUGCGGCAAGUUGGGAGUGAAAUCUCUGGGCUCAACCCAGAGACGGCUUCCAAAACUGCCGUGCUUGAGUGUGAGAGAGGCUCGUGGAAUUGCAGGUGUAGCGGUGAAAUGCGUAGAUAUCUGCAGGAACACCCGUGGCGAAAGCGGCGAGCUGGAUCACUACUGACGCUGAAGAACGAAAGCUAGGGGAGCAAACAGGAUUAGAUACCCCCGUAGUCC